rnacentral:lncRNA from 1 species
GAAAUAUGAUUCUUUGUAAUUCAAACUAGUUUGAUUGAGUUCACAUGAAUCAUUGCAACCUGGUAUGAUAGGAUUCCAAACACAUGAAUACUUGUUAUCACCUAUAAAUCAAUUCAAAACUUACUUUUUUGGACAAAAAAACUCAUGUAUUGCAUUAAUAGGUUGGUUUUUCUGCAGAGAGAGUUGGACACUACUAUGUACCCCAAAGCUGGUUGCGUUUAGUUGAAAUAAAACCUACAGGUUGUGCCUUCAUUGAAGUGCUUUGGUUGUGUAGCUUGGGGACUCGAGCCUCAACCACCGGGAAGAAAGCUUGGACCACACCAGACGGUGCAAUGUCUCAUGCCAUUAAAUUUGGUAGCUUGGAGGCCAUUUAUAACACCCUCCCAUACUAAGAAAAACCUCAUUACUCCUUUCCCAACAUCAUCAUAAUAAUAAGCGCCCAUUAUCCCCCAUUUUAUUUACAACCUUUCCCACUCUCCAUUCUCCAACUACUCUAUUCAAUUAUUCAUGGAAUAUGAUUUUUUUUUUUAUAAUC